AUAUAUAUAUAUAUAUAUAGAGUUAGGCUCCUAUGCUUUCGAAAGUACGGAAGUUUCCGUACUUGUAAGUUGUUUGCAAUAAUGGGACAUCCGAUUCGGCGAUCGGUCCGUUAGACAUGAUCUACAUUAUUAGAACUAUCUAGAAACCAAAUUUCAUAAUUUUUUGACUUCGUUUGUCUAGUAAACGAGUAGCCUCAAAAUGAACGAUUGAAAAUAAAAAUUUCAUAAAAAAUAGUGAUAAAUGACUCAAAUUUCAAAUCGGAAGAAUUGGUCUUACUAUUGAUGUUAAGUAGAAUUUUUUAUUACAUUUUCAUCUAAUUUGGAUACUUCUAGACCGUUGAAUUUAAAAACGUGCCACAUCGGCUGUUAAAAUAAUCAUUUUUGAGACCUUUUGAUCGCUUGAUAAAUGAUGUCAAAAAAUUAUAAAAUUUGAUUUCUAAAUAGUUCCAAUAUGGUAGAUUAUACUUAACAGAGCCGAUCG
rnacentral:lncRNA from 1 species